AGAACGAACGCUGGCGGCAGGCUUAACACAUGCAAGUCGAACGCCCCGCAAGGGGAGUGGCAGACGGGUGAGUAACGCGUGGGAAUCUACCUGGUUCUACGGAAUAACACAGGGAAACUUGUGCUAAUACCGUAUACGCCCUAAGGGGGAAAGAUUUAUCGGUGACCAGAUCGAGCCCGCGUAAGAUUAGCUAGUUGGUGGGGUAAUGGCCUACCAAGGCGACGAUCUUUAGCUGGUCUGAGAGGAUGAUCAGCCACACUGGGACUGAGACACGGCCCAAACUCCUACGGGAGGCAGCAGUGGGGAAUAUUGGACAAUGGGCGCAAGCCUGAUCCAGCCAUGCCGCGUGAGUGAUGAAGGCCCUAGGGUUGUAAAGCUCUUUUGUGCGGGAAGAUAAUGACGGUACCGCAAGAAUAAGCCCCGGCUAACUUCGUGCCAGCAGCCGC
rnacentral:rRNA from 1 species